rnacentral:rRNA from 1 species
UACGGAGGGUGCAAGCAUUGAUCGGAAUUACUGGGCGUAAAGGGCGCGUAGGCGGUCUGAGAAGUCAGAUGUGAAAUUCCGGGGCUCAACCCCGGAGCUGCAUUUGAAACUUUUAGACUUGAGGUUGGUAAGGGAAAACGGAAUUCCACGUGUAGCGGUGAAAUGCGUAGAUAUGUGGAAGAACACCGGUGGUGAAGACGGUUUUCUGUGCUAAACCUGACGCUGAGGCGCGAAAGCUAGGGGAGCAAACAGG